rnacentral:rRNA from 1 species
GAUGAACGCUGGCGGCGUGCUUAACACAUGCGAGUCGAACGAAGCACUUUAUUUGAUUUCCUUCGGGACUGAUUAUUUUGUGACUGAGUGGCGGACGGGUGAGUAACGCGUGGGUAACCUGCCUUGUACAGGGGGAUAACAGUUGGAAACGGCUGCUAAUACCGCAUAAGCGCACAGCAUCGCAUGAUGCAGUGUGAAAAACUCCGGUGGUAUAAGAUGGACCCGCGUUGGAUUAGCUAGUUGGUGAGGUAACGGCCCACCAAGGCGACGAUCCAUAGCCGACAUGAGAGGGUGACCGGCCACAUUGGGACUAAGACACGGCCGAAACUCCUACGGGAGGCAGCAGUGGGGAAUAUUGCACAAUGGGCGAAAGCCUGAUGCAGCGACGCCGCGUGAGCGAAGAAGUAUUUCGGUAUGUAAAGCUCUAUCAGCAGGGAAGAUAAUGACGGUACCUGACUAAGAAGCACCGGCUAAAUACGUG